rnacentral:lncRNA from 1 species
ACGCACAGGAGCCCACACAGUGCCUGGCAGUAUGAAUCUCUCCACUGGGACUGAAAACAAAAGCCUCACAGAUGAUGCAUCCAAGGAGACAAGAUCAGGGGGAGCCCACCCAUCAGGCAGGAUGCCCCUCAGAGGGACAUCCGAGAGCAGCAGACCUGGAAUGCCAGCCCCAUGUCCAGCACCCGACCUGGGCCCCUGAAGCCAACAUAAUUGAGUCUUCACGGGGACCACCGGACUCACCCUCACCCCCACCUCACCAUUCCCUUCGACAGGCUUGUCUUCCCAUCGCUGUGCUGGAAUUUGUCUGGAAACAAAGAGAAAAACAUCGCUGAUACCAUCUCAGGCGAUGUGGGUUUGCAGGUUUUUUCUUUCUGAAGAUAUCACAAGGGCCACAUGCCUCUUUGCUAUCGCAGCGCUCUCCGUUUUAGCAGCAUGAGGAAGAAUUAUGAUCCAGGCAAGAGCCCGUGCCUUGUGUGUGGUUGUAUGUCUUGUCGGCCUCCCCAUCCUCCCAGGUUGAGGUGAUAAUUCAUGCGGGGGUGACAGCCGGUUUAAGAGCGAUCACUGUGGAGCCACUGGAAAAUACACAGACUUCAUAAACUCCCAAUAUUGCCUCAUC